rnacentral:rRNA from 1 species
GGUGAACGCUGGCGGCGUGCCUAAUACAUGCCAGUCGAGCGAACAGACGAGGAGCUUGCUCCUCUGACGUUAGCGGCGGACGGGUGAGUAACACGUGGAUAACCUACCUAUAAGACUGGGAUAACUUCGGGAAACCGGAGCUAAUACCGGAUAAUAUAUUGAACCGCAUGGUUCAAUAGUGAAAGACGGUUUUGCUGUCACUUAUAGAUAGAUCCGCGCCGCAUUAGCUAGUUGGUAAGGUAACGGCUUACCAAGGCGACGAUGCGUAGCCGACCUGAGAGGGUGAUCGGCCACACUGGAACUGAGACACGGUCCAGACUCCUACGGGAGGCAGCAGUAGGGAAUCUUCCGCAAUGGGCGAAAGCCUGACGGAGCAACGCCGCGUGAGUGAUGAAGGUCUUCGGAUCGUAAAACUCUGUUAUUAGGGAAGAACAAAUGUGUAAGUAACUAUGCACGUCUUGACGGUACCUAAUCAGAAAGCCACGGCUAACUACGUG